GAAUUUUGCGCAAUGGGCGAAAGCCUGACGCAGCAACGCCGCGUGUGUGAUGAAGGUCUUCGGAUUGUAAAGCACUUUCGACCGGGACGAAAACCCUGAGGCUAACAUCCUCAGGCUUGACGGUACCGGGCGAAGCAGCACCGGCUAACUCUGUGCCAGCAGCCGCGGUAAUACAGAGGGUGCAAGCGUUGUUCGGAAUUAUUGGGCGUAAAGCGCGUGUAGGCGGCUUUGCAAGUCGGGUGUGAAAGCCCUCAGCUCAACUGAGGAAGUGCGCCCGAAACUGCAGAGCUUGAGUGCCGGAGAGGGUGGCGGAAUUCCCCAAGUAGAGGUGAAAUUCGUAGAUAUGGGGAGGAACACCGGUGGCGAAGGCGGCCACCUGGACGGUAACUGACGCUGAGACGCGAAAGCGUGGGGAGCAAACAGG
rnacentral:rRNA from 1 species